UUUAUGUAGUUGCUGUUAAGUUGAUUCAACUCAUCGACUAGCAUGAGCCGUCAUGUUAAUCUUUUGUGCAAAUCCAGCGUUGAAUUGAUCAUCAUUUGUAAAGCAAUCUGCCGUAAAAUGAUGGCAUGGCAACAACACUCUACUACAACAACUCUUCCUCUUCUCUAAAGCAGCCCAACAUGGUGUUCUCGGGGGCAGGGUUUAUGUAAAUUUUAGUUUAACCCGGGAAGAAGCUUGUUUAGUCCAUACCAGCCAUUUGUUGUAGACGUUAAAAAGCGAUUUCUGUAAAAUAAAAUAUCUCCCUUUGCAUUGAACUUUGAGCUUCGUAACUUUGCAGAUGUUGUUUAUGCUCAAACAGCAACAUUACACACUAACUAAAGUUUAAAAGGUGAAAUCAUAAUCAACCACCCCUUUAAACAAAAAAAUAACUGUGGAAAUUCACUUAUUUCAUUAAUAAUGUUAAAAAUACUAUUGACAAAAUGCCUAUACUGCAUCUUUGAGACAUUGUCAUAUGAAGAACUAGUCACUAACUUGUCAGUUUUGUAGCCUAUACAUUAUCUUGCCAUUACCAGUGCCAUGCUUAAAUAUAUAAACGUGGUGUAGUUCAGGGUACAUGUACACAUCAACGAGGUACUAAAAACGGAAAACCAAAACCUGAGUGUUGGGGAAACCUAUUUAAAAACAGCCUCAUUUUGCAAUUCUGUUUAAGGUCACUAAUAGCCCAGACAACAUUAGUCUAGACAACUUUUUAGCAACGCUGCAUAGUAUUUCCAUAUCAGAGCACACGCAUUAAAGUACAGUAAGUUCCCUGAGUAAAGUUUACGCUCGUCAUUUGUUUUUUCCUGUACUAAUAACCAAAACCAUACCAGGGGCCCACAUUGAAGCAGCUAACCACAUAUGACUGCUAGUGUUAAAGCUGCGUUGAACUGAAACAUCAGAGCUCCUGCACGUACAAGAAAAAUAAGCUACAGUGUUGUCAGGUAAAAUUAAUUUGGUAACCCUUUAUUUUAAUGGUCCCUUUUGAACAUUCUGUUGACUAUAAGUAACUACAUGUCUACUAACUCUCAUUAGAGUAUUAGUAAACUGUCUCCUUAAAGUUGCAGUCCGUAACUUUUUUGGUUAAAAAUGAUCCAAAAUCAAUUUUUGAGCAAGUACAUAACCAGCCAGUGUUCAAACUAUCUCCUUACCUUAGCCCGAUUCACAACGGUAAGCUUGUAACAGUGGUGGACGAAGUACACAAAUCAAGUACUUGAGUAAAAGUACAGAUACGUGUCAUAAAAUAUUACUAAGUGAAAGUUAUAAUAUAAGUGAAAGUAUUUAGUGCUCCUUUUCAAUUUUACUUGAGUGAAAGUACAAAAGUAUUUGAUUUUUAAUGUACUUAAGUAAAAAAGUACUGAUUGAUGAAUGUUUAUUUUGUAAUUUUAUAUAGGCUACUUAUAUAAUUUAAUUUUAUAUUAUAUAUUUUAUAUAAUCCUAUUGCUCAAAAUGAUUAUGAAUGAUAAUGAAUUGUCAAAUAGCCAGCAAUAGUCAGUAUGGAUGGAAGAUUAGUGGAUGCAGAUACAUAAUAUGUAAUGUGUGUUAACAAACAAUAUAAAAACAGACAAAACAUAUAGGGCUUAAUACAUAACAUUUUUAAAAAUUGCAACAGCAGCGGGGAACAUGAACGUGCAUGUGUUAUUUUAAUUAAAAGAUAAAAGGAUAAAAUGAGAAUCAAGAUUUAUUUUGUUUGUUUCAAAUAGAGAUCAUGAUUCUCCCAUGAUUCUGAAUAGACAACUAAACAAAAUUGCGUAUAAUUAUUUACUAGAGGACAAAAUAUUAAUUGCUGCAGUCUAUUUAAAAAUAUUUAAUUAAUUCAUUUAAUGAAAUGGGUUUGAAUGAAUGAUUUAAUGACUCACUCAUAACUACUUCACUUGUUUCAUUACUGGAUGAAUCAAUGUUUUUGAACAAAUCCUUUAAAUGAAUCAUUCAAUGUCAAAUACAUUUUAACAGACACUUGUCGCCUCCUAGUGUAAUCGAUACAACCGUUAUUUGAAGCGGCAAGUUAGGCUACGUCCACACGAAGCCAGAUCUUUACCCAUCCGAUCUUUUUUUUUCUUCCUCGCCUCAAGAAAUAUCUGCGUACACAUGAAACCACUGAAACGACUCAAAACGAUGUAGUAUACAUACCAGAUCAGUAUGUGGCGCUGUAAUUCUGCAAUAGAGAUACACUAAAAACAAAGAAUAAGACUUGGAGCAUGUGCAUAAACCUUGCGCGCUGUAUACACACUUUAGUAAUACUUAGAAAUAAAGCUUUAUUUUAAUAAAGCUUUAGGUGCGGUAGCUUCUGCAGCACGAACACACGCAUGUAGUACGCUAUUAUUGUUGUUGUUGCUGUUUUGUGCUGUUAGCGGUGACUGACUAGGGUUGACACGUGGGGUGAUAACAUCAUCCUUUCACAACAUAUACGGAUUGGCUGUACAAGGGCGCCGUUUUCAGAUUUAUCCACUCUGGGACCUGGUUUCAAAAAACAGCGGUUUUACCUUCCGAAAACGCCGGAUCCGUGUGGAUGAAACGCCCAUAGACAUUAUAAUAAACACUAGACGCCCUAUUGGCCUCUGGACUGUACGUCAACGGCGUCGCCAUAUUGUGUGGGGCAACGUUCCCAUAACACUCAUAACCAGUGUUGCCAGACGUACGAUAAUUAUCGUAUUUGUACGAUAAUUUUGACCUUUGUACGAUGUACGAUCAAUAAUGAAAAAAAUGUACGAUAAUUUCAGAAUUUUGUUACACUUCAAAUGAUGGUCGUUAUAAUCAGCUUAUACUCAUUGAUCUAGCUGUGGAUCCUCUACGUCAUGAUUGUAAGGAGAACGUGAACGUUGUACGGCAUGUCUUCCAUCUCAUCUCACGUUACGUCUUCUCGGCCAAUCAUCGUGGAGAAUGACAGAAUGACUCUCUCUCACGAGCACGAGUUAACAUUCCUGCCGCAGCGCUUUUAGGUCAGUUGUUUCCCACUGAGGUACGCCUAGUUAUUUAUCUAUUGUGGUAAUUAUUGUGGUAAUUUGCAGGUCAUGUCAAAAAGUUGUUGGUCUAGAUAAAUAGUUGUAUUCUGUACGUUUGACUCGUCAUGUCACCUUUAUUUAGGCUAUAUAGUGCUUUUUACAAUGCCGAUUGUGUCAAAGUAGGCUAUAGCUUUACAGAGAUAGAGGGAACAUCAUUUUGGCUGUACAGCAGCUAAAAUAGUGUGAUUGUCCACCCUAAGUAAGUUCAGUAUUGAUUCAUUCUGUUGUAAAAAUCGUUAGUUAGUUCAUUUACCUAUACUAAAAACUCGUGUACGAUCAUUUUCUUCCAAAUACGAUAAUUUUGAGCUUCUGGUACGAUACUUGGACAUUUCCAAUCUGGCAACACUGCUCAAAACUGGAAUUAAGAAAAAUGCCUGCCUCGUGUGCUGCUUGGGGGUGUACAAAUCGCUGCACAGUUGAAAAAAGGUCUCAGGGAAUGACCUUUCACAGCCCGUUGCAACCAGAGCUACACAAGCCACAAGGAAAGCUGAGGAGAGCCUGUCAGUGCACUGUUCUUACCAUUUCCAAGAGAUUGAUGGAAAAUAUAUAGCCUGUUGUUGUUGUUAUUAUUAUUAUACCAAUACUAUAUUAUUAUUGUACUAGUCACUAUUUAUUUUACUAUUUUUAUUAUUGUCUAUAUUAUUCUGCAAUUGAUAUUACAUUGUAUUUGCGAUUAUUAUUAUUAUACCAAUACUAUUAUAUUAUACCACUUGAGAUUAUCAAUCUUAUGCUGUUAUAUUAUUGUCUGUAUUCUGUAAAUGAUACUACAUAUUCUUAUUGUUAUUAUUAUAGUAUUAUUAUACUAUAUGCUAUUAUCAAUAUAUUAUUAUGAUAUUAUAUUAUUGUACUUAUACUAUUAUAUAAUCGUUCUAUUCAUUACUAUUUUAUUUGCUGUACACUGUUUGUUUAUUGACAAAAUUAUAUACUUUAUUAUUGACUAUAUUACUAUAUACUACAUAAACUAUUUCUUAUAUAUAGUGUAUAACAAACUAUUUACUAUUCUCACUUUCUUAUAUUUACUAUUUGCAUUGCACUGUAGUCGUACCAUGUCAUAUGUAUUACCAUAAAGGAUCCAUCAGUUAUUGGUGUUGUUGUAUGUUUUUGGAGUAUCUUUCUGUUAAUAUCUGUAACAUUUUAGUGCUAUAAAAAUACAGAAAGCA